rnacentral:rRNA from 1 species
GAUGGUUAACCAAAAAGCGCCGCAAAUUGCAGCGGUUGCGCCAUACGAUGGGACUGCGGAGGAUCAGGCAGAUGGCGGGGUAACGGCCCACCAUACCUAUAACCCUUAGAGGCUGUGGGAGCAGAAGCCUCGAGAAGGACACUGGGACAAGGGUCCUAGCGCUACGGCGUGCAGCAGGCGCGAAAACUCCACAAUGCGCGAAAGCGUGAUGGGGGGAAUCUGAGUGGCCUACUUAGUAGGCCUUUUGCCAAGUGUAGCACGCUUGGCGAAUAAGUGCUGGGCAAGACCGGUGGCAGCCGCCACGGUAAUACCGGCAGCACGAGUGGUGUUCACGAUUAUUGGGCUUAAAGCGCUCGUAGCCGACCUGUGCCGUCUCAUGUGAAAUAUUGGUGCUCAACACCAAUGCGUGCAUGAGAUACCCACAGGUUAGGGAGCGGGUGAGGUCAGGGGUACUCAUGGGGAAGGGGUUAAAUCCUAUAAUCCUAUGAGGACCAACGGUGGCGAAGGCGCCUGACUAGAACGCAUCCGACGGUGAGAAGCGAAGGCUAGGAGAACGAAUCGGAUUAGAUACCCGAGUAGCCCUAGCAGUAAAUUAUGCAGACUCUGGUGUUGCAAUUUCC